ensembl:lncRNA
AACCGCUCCGGAAAAUCACCCUGCUCAAACAAGGAGGGGGCCACACACCUAGGAAACCUGAGCAGGGAUUUAAUCCGUGCAGGUUUGUGCCCGGGGAGAGCGGGGCGCCUGCCUGCGUCCAAGCCGGUCGCUGUCCUUCACCCAGCCACCAGGAAGCUGUACGCAGGGAGCGGACGCUGGUGACUUCUUUGAUACUGCUAACAGGAAGAUGACCACAGAGGUUAACCACAGAGUAAUGUACGAAACCGGGGUACAACACAUUCCAUUGUCAGCCAGGAAAAGCCUCUACAGCCGCACUGGAAAAUCAACAGAGUUUGCGAGAAACUUUUCUGUGAAUGUCAAUAACUCACUGCUGGGAAUUUGGCCCUCUCCAAUCAGCACCUUUCCAGACUGGCUGAACAAACACGAGGGAGUUAUACCUGUUAGCUUAGGUGUUCAGGAGCGCUCUCUGAGCCACUGUCGCCUAGGCUCACCUGGCUAACCAUUAGCAGGGGGCUCCUCUGGUUGGAGAUACACCCGUUGCCAAAACACGGCGCAGCAUGUCUUAUCGCAGGCAGCCGAAAGACUCAACAGUAUCACCUUGGGCAAACAUUUGUUUGCAGCGUGCAAUUCAUUUGGCGGAAGAGCACCCGCCUCUCUGUGGGAAGGGAAAGCGCUGGGUGCCUUCGGGUAUUUCUUUUAAAAGGAGCCCCUCAGGAAGCAGCAGAAGUUGUAGCCCUGAGCUGAUCCCAUAAGGAGUUCCUCCUUCCUACCUUUUGUCAAGGGAUCCUGUGCUCUUUUUCUCUUCUUUAGCAGCGCAUCAGCUCUGUCUUUGGUGCAAAAAUAUUCUCCUUCAGCUUGGGCUUCUUGUGGGAUGUUGUGUUCAUAUGGAACAGUGACCUACACCAAUGGGAAGACCAGUCAGUCCACAAAUUACUCUGCGUUCCAGGGAGCUGAUGGCUGGGAUGGAUUGCCAUAUCCCUGUGACAAAUGUUGGCAUUCAAAAACCCUCUUGACUCUAUCUGGAAAGAAUAAUAUUUCUAUCCCUUGUUAACAAGCUGGGUAGCAAUGUGGAAAAGGGGUUUGGCAUCUCAUGUAGGAAGAACUGUCAUCUCUGUCACCAGUGAGUCCAGGCAGGUGGGCAUUUGUCGUAUCUCAUUGCCUCCCAGAACAGGAAUCCCCAGAGUGAAAGUGUCGCCAGACCCAAGGCAGUCGAAGUUAAUGGACUAAGAAAAGCAAACAAACCUCGCUGUCCGUUGUGUUGGGCUCAUCAGAGUCCUGCUUCCCAGACUCAACAUCCUCAUCGUCUAAGGAAAUACAAAAAGAAGGUUUUUUUUUGGCUGGUAUGGGGCCUGACAAACUCAUGAGCAUGGAAAGAGCCCCAGGCCCAGGCUCUGACAGCAGAGAGCCUUCAUUAGCAGGCAUCUGCAUUAAUGACACUUCGAAAGUACAAAGACGUGCUGGGACAGUCCAGAAACAAAGCCAUGUCUCUGACACGCCCUGGCUGCCUGGGGCAGGAGCCAGCACGGCUAGCAGAAAGGACCGGAGGGCCCUGGAGAGCCUGCCCGGGGCUGUACACAAGUGAAGCAGAAAACAAAUUCAGCCAUAAACUGUAUUGUGAAGCAGAACUACUCCGAGCUAUACGAAUUGAAAUGAAUGUUUAUAGGAGGGCCAAGAAAGGUGUCUGGGGAACCAGCUUCCAAUAAAACCGCAUCCUUAGGACUUUGCUACA